UACGAAGGGUGCAAGCGUUACUCGGAAUCACUGGGUGUAAAGCGCGUGUAGGCGGCCUGCCAAGUCUGCUGUGAAAGCGCCUGGCUUAACCGGGCGAGGUCGGUGGAAACUGGCGGGCUGGAGGUCGGUAGAGGGGGGUGGAAUUCCCGGUGUAGUGGUGAAAUGCGUAGAUAUCAGGAGGAACACCGGUGGCGAAGGCGGCUCUCUGGACCACAACUGACGCUGAGGCGCGAAAGCUAGGGGAGCAAACAGG
rnacentral:rRNA from 1 species